rnacentral:rRNA from 1 species
GAUGAACGCUAGCGGCAGGCCUAACACAUGCAAGUCGAGGGGUAACUAGAGUGAUAGCAAUCUUACUUUGGCUAGACCGGCGCACGGGUGCGUAACACGUAUGCAACCUACCUUAUACUGGGGAAUAACUUCGAGAAAUCGGCGCUAAUACCCCAUAACACUGCGGAGAGGCAUCUCUCUGCAGUUAAACCCCCGGCCGCAUCAGCUGGGCAUGCGUCCAAUUAGCCAGCUGGUGAGGGAACGGCCAACCAAGGCUACGAUUGGUAGGGGUUCUGAGAGGAUGAUCCCCCACACUGGUACUGAGACACGGACCAGACUCCUACGGGAGGCAGCAGUGAGGAAUAUUGCGCAAUGGACGAAAGUCUGACGCAGCCAUGCCGCGUGCAGGAUGACGGCCCUAUGGGUUGUAAACUGCUUUUGUACGGGAAUAAACCCUUCUACGUGUAGGAGGCUGAAGGUACCGUAAGAAUAAGCACCGGCUAACUCCGUGCCAGCAGCCGCCGUAA